GAGGCAACUAAACAAAGGAUAAAGAAGAUGUUCAACAAGGUUGAUCUCUCUGUUUCCUCAUAUGACACUGCUUGCGUGGCAAUGGUCCCUUCUCCAAAUUCUGUAAAGGAUCCUUUUUUCCCUGCAUGUGUAAAUUGGUUAUUGGACAAUCAACUCCAUGAUGGCUCAUGGGGUCCUCCUGAUCUGCAUCCACUGUUAACAAAAGAUGCUCUCUCAUCCACCUUGGCAUGUAUCCUUGCACUAAAGCGAUGGAGUGUCGGUGACGAACAAAUUAACAAGGGGCUGCAUUUUAUCGAGUCAAACAUAGCUGCAGCUACUGAUGAAGAGAAGCCAUCACCUGUUGGGUUUGAUAUAAUAUUUUCUGCAAUGAUUGAAUCUGCAAUGAGUUUGAAUAUGAAUUUUCUCCAGGGUGGAUCAACCUUAAGGGCUUUAUUUCACAGGAGAGAUUUUGAGCUUAAAAGAGGCUAUGGAAGCAACUCAGAGGGGUGGAAAGCCUAUAUAGCAUACAUUUCAGAAGGAAUUGGAAAGUCACAGGAUUGGUAGAUGGUCAUGAAGUACCAAAGGAAGAAUGGAUCUUUGUUUAAUUCACCAUCAACUACUGCCUCUGCUUUUACUCACACUAAGAAUGCUGGUUGUCUUGAUUACCUACACACACUCAUAGAGAAGUUUGGGAAUGCAGUUCCAACAGUUUAUCCUCUAGAUCACUAUGCUCGUCUUUCUAUGGUUUCAACUCUUGAUAGUUUGGGUAUUGAUCGACACUUCAGGGAGGAAAUAAGGAGUGUACUAGAUAAAACAUACAGAUGCUGGCUGCAGGGGGAUGAAGAUGUAUUUUCAGACGCUGCCACCUGUGCUGUGGCUUUUCGACUCUUACGUGUUGAUGGAUAUGAUGUCUCUGCAGAUUGGUUGAAUCAAUUUUCAGAAGACAAUUUCUGUGAUUCUCUUGGAGGAUAUUUAAGGGACACUGAUGCUGCAUUAGAACUGUUUAGGGCAUCGCAAGUCAUCAUACAUCCAGAUGAAUCAGUUCUAGAGAAACAAAACUGCUGGACAAGUAAUUUCCUAAAACAGGAGUUUUCUCAUAAUAAAACUCAGCCUCACAGAGUCAAUAAGCUUAUUGGCCUAGAGGUGGAUGAUGCUCUUAAGUUUCCUUCCUAUGCAACUUUUAGUCGGUUGUCGAGCAGGAGAGUGAUUCUAUCUUACAACACCAACAGUACAAGGAUUUUAAAAUCUUCUUAUCGUUGUUUAAAUAUAGGAAAUGAAGACUUCCUAAAACUGGCAGUGGAAGACUACAAUAUGUGUCAAUCGGUAUAUCAGGAAGAACUCGAGCAUCUUUCAAGGUGGGUUGUUGAGAGCAGAUUAGACAAGCUAAAAUUUGCCAGGCAGAACCUGGCUUUCUGUUAUUUCACUGCUGCUGGAAUUCUUUUCACUCCUGAACUAUCAGAUGCUCGUAGGUCAUGCACCAAAAAUGCGGUACUUGUAACUGUGGUCGAUGAUUUGUUUGACGUUGGAGGUUCUGAAGAGGAACUGAUAAACCUUAUACAAUUGGUCGAGAAGUGGGAUGUGACUCCAAGAGCCGAUUCUUGCUCUGAGAAUGUUGAAAUCAUUUUUUCAGCAAUUAAGAGCGCAGUGGGUGAGACCGGCAUCAAUGCAUUCGCAAGGCAAGCGCGCGGUGUGACAAAUCAUGUCAUUGAGAUGUGGUUGGAUUUGCUCAAGGCUAUGUUGAAGGAAGCUGAGUGGGUGAUCAACAAGUUGGCGCCAACAAUGGAGGAUUACAUGGAUAAUGCGUACGUCUCAUUUGGCAUGGGACCUAUUAUCCUUUCAACUCUCUAUCUGGUAGGGCCUAAGCUGUCAGAGGAUGCUGUACAGAGUUUGGAAUACUACAAUCUGUAUAGACUAAUGAGUACUAUUGGGCGUCUUCUCAAUGAUUUGGUAACCUAUAAGAAGGAAGCUGCGGUAGGGAAGCUAAAUGCUGUAACAUUGGCAGUGAUUCAUGGAAAUGGUAGUGUUACCGAAGAAGAGGCGAUCAAUGAGACGAAGAGCAUCAUCACCAGUAAGAGGAGAGAACUGCAAAGACUAGUUUUGCAGGACAAGGAUAGUGCAGUUCCAAGAGCUUGCAAGGAAUUGUUUUGGAACAUGGGAAAAGCUUUGAACCUAUUUUAUGGAAAGCAGGAUGGACACACCUCCCACGACAUGAUGAAAUAUGCAAAUGAAGUAAAUGAAAUACCCAUCAUUCUCAAUGAAUUGCAAAGUAGAAAGUAA